GACGAACGCUGGCGGCGUGCCUAACACAUGCAAGUCGAGCGAGGACUUCUGUUCUGGCUGCUGAGGUGUAGGUAACGCUUGGUGAGUGGCGCUUGGGUGCGGAAUACCCCGGUGAAACGGGUCGUAAUAGGGGAUAAGCGCUUGGGGUGAAAGAUUUAUCGGCGAAGGAUCGGCCCGCGUUGGAUUAGGUAGUUGGUGGGGUAAGGGCCUACCAAGCCGACGAUCCAUAGCUGGUUUGAGAGGAUGAUCAGCCACACUGGGACUGAGACACGGCCCAGACUCCUACGGGAGGCAGCAGUGGGGAAUCUUAGACAAUGGGGGAAACCCUGAUCUAGCCAUGCCGCGUGAGCGAUGAAGGCCUUAGGGUUGUAAAGCUCUUUCAGCUGGGAAGAUAAUGACGGUACCAGAAGAAGAAGCCCCGGCUAACUCCGUG
rnacentral:rRNA from 1 species